AUUGCACGCUGGCGGCAGGCCUAACACAUGCAAGUCGAACGAGUGGCGGACGGGAGAGUAAUGUCUGGGAAACUGCCCGAUGGAGGGGGAUAACUACUGGAAAAGGUAGCUAAUACCGCAUACCAUCGGAUGUGCCCAGAUGGGAUGAGCUAGUAGGUGGGGUAACGGCUCACCUAGGCGACGAUCCCUAGCUGGUCUGAGAGGAUGACCAUCAACACUGGAACGGAGAACCGGUCCAGGCUCCUACGGGACGCCGCAGUGGCGAAUAUUGCACAAUGGGCGCAAGCCGGAUGCAGCCAUGCCGCGUGUAUGAAGAAGGCCUUCGGGUUGUAAAGUACUUUCAGCGAGGAGGCGUUACUCGCAGAAGAAGCACCGGCUAACUCCGUGCCAGCCGCCGCGGUAAUUC
rnacentral:rRNA from 1 species